CUUUCAACUGAAUGAUACGGAAUGAAUACGUUUCCAACUUUUCACUGAGCGCGUCACGUGUCGCGACAUGAAAGAGAGAAAGAGAGAAGUUUAUAUAUACAACACUCUCUCUUUCUCUCUCUCUCUCCCUCUCCUUCGACACGUGACGCGCUCAGUGGAAAUCUGGAAACAUACCCUAAUGUAAUUAGUAAUACUGAACAUACCCAUUGUAUUUCAUAGUUGGUAACACUGUGAAAGAUGCACGUUAAAAUGAUUGCGUUCAGCAGAAAAAGCAGCUUUGCAACUAUUGUAAGAUAGGCUGCGUUCAGCAAAAGUCAGCGCUUAAGAAGCGCUUUGUACUGUGCUGCCAGCAGUUUGCAAUUUCUGCUGAACGCACUUUAGUCCUUAUAUGUAUCAGUGUAUAAUCACAGUGUUGCGACCAGUGUAUUUCGGUGUAUUUAUCGGAAUAAUUUAUGGAUAAUGGAAGCUAUAAUUUUAAUAGCGAUAGAUGACUUAAAUAUAAACGAUAUAAUAAAUAAUUGCGGAAGAUUUGGAUCAACCCCAAUUAUUUGAUGAUUUGGAGGUUAGAAGGAAUAAAAGACCGUGAAACGAAAAUUAUUAUGAAUUAAUAAUCUCUCAAUAUAUUGAUGUAUAAUUUAUUGAACACUUCAAGAAUGUCGCGAUGCACUUUUGAAGAACUGCUUCAUGUAACUGCUCCUCUCAUAAAUGAUUAUGAAUUUGCAAAUGUUAAUGUAGAAAAAAAAAUGUUUAUGAUUUGGGUACUGGCUAAAUCAGAGUUUUUUAGCUGUUGAUAAUAAAUUUAAUUUGGCAAAAGUACAGGACACGCAAUAUUUAAAAAUGUUAUAAGUGCUUGGGCACAAUUGAUGCCUCAGUACGUGCAGUGACCAAAUGCAAUAUACAACAGCAAUAUCUUGUAUUUCAAAACCGAUUGCGUGGAUUUCCAGGAAUAAUAGGUGCUAUAGAUGGAUGUUAUAUCCCUUGUAAACAACCCCCAGAAAAUGCACAUGAUUAUUACAAUAGAAAGGAAUUCCAUUCUAUUAUAUUGCAAGCAGUUUGUAAUCACAAAGGAGUAUUCAUUGAUUGUCAUAUUGAUAUGCCAGGACGUAUGCAUGACGCAAGAGUCUUCAGAAAUAGCCCAUUAUACAAUCGAAUAAGAAAUGUACAGAAAU